UUUUUAUUCGUCCAUUAUAUAUAAUGCGAUGUAUGCUUGAUACCGUUGUCCAUACAUCUUUAAUAUAUCGUAUGGAAACUAAACAAAUCUACAUAUCAUAAGGACAAUGAAGAAUUUGCAGGGGAAAGUUCCCUUUCAAUUUUUAAAGUUUGUUGGUUUGUUGUUCCAAGGCUACUCGAUUUGUUAGCGCCAAAUUAAAGGUUUUUCACAUCUGACACAUCUUAUUGAUCUAAAGUUGUAUGCUGUUGUUGAAAACGAAAAACGAAAGUUCUCCCACGAUAUCGUUUUAACUGUCGAGUAACUGUACUUUAACCAUAAAUUUUGAGGCGAACGUUCCUGAAUCAUGAACUCGAGUUGCUUUAAAUCGAAUUAAAUACAAUUGAAAUUUGUUCUGAAAAGUGAUACGGAUAAGACUGAAUUUAUUUCGUUUUUUUUUUUUAAUCAAUUCUCAUUCGUUUAAUACACUGAAUACUUAUUACAGUAUUACAGUAUUAGGUUUGUAUCGAUUUGCUUCACACUCAAUGUUUUUAUUGAUAUUGACUAAAUGUAACUCAUUUUUGAAUUGUUUGGCAAUAGUCUGGGUUUUUUUUUGGAACGGAAUUUUAAUUACUGUAAAAUUUUCAAAUGUUGUACGCUUGCAUUAGGGUGCGUGGAUAGAUUUUCUUGAAACCUUACACAGAUG
rnacentral:lncRNA from 1 species